rnacentral:lncRNA from 1 species
GGAAGUGACAUGGCAGGGAGACUCAUAUAUAAACAAGGGCAAGAAGGAAGUGGGCGCCUUCUCUCUUCCUCCAGAGUCACCAUGUGAUCCCUCAAUGAGGACACCAAUGGAAGGCAUCAUAAAUAAGGAAACAAAACAAAACCAGUCUGCCCUGGGAUUUGGAAAUAGGAUCCGAUUCUCUUGGAGCCUCCCGCUCACUGCUGGGAGCCGUGUGGGCAUGAGGGACAGACAGGAGAAGAGAACCCAUUUUGAACAAGGUGAUGGUUCUUCUCAGUUGUCAACUCGAGAUCUAGAGUCACCUGGGAAGCAGGUCUCUGGGCAUGCUGUAAGGUUCAUCAAACUGGGAAGGCGCUCCCACUGUGGAUGGCACCAUCCCCUGGACUGA